UACGUAGGGGGCAAGCGUUGUCCGGAUUUAUUGGGCGGAAAGAGCGUGUAGGCGGCCAGGUAGGUCCGUUGUGAAAACUGGAGGCUUAACCUCCAGCUGUCGAUGGAAACCAUCUGGCUAGAGUCCGGAAGAGGAGAGUGGAAUUCCUGGUGUAGCGGUGAAAUGCGCAGAUAUCAGGAGGAACACCGAUGGCGAAGGCAGGUCUCUGGGCAUUAACUGACGCUGAGGAGCGAAAGCAUGGGGAGCGAACAGG
rnacentral:rRNA from 1 species